rnacentral:lncRNA from 1 species
GGACUUGAAAAGGGAAACAAGGAGCAAUUAUAAGGUAUUCCUAUCUCAUGAGCCUGUUGGAUUCUCAGGGAAAUGAAUUUACAGAAGGCUGUAGGCCAUCCCUGCAGAAGAGGUGAAAGGUCCUGACUCCUGAGAAGAACCCCACCUCCCUCUCCUACAUUAGAGGCAGAGCUCCUGUCUAGCGUCCUGGUCUUUCCUGGACCGUUCGAGGACAGCCAGCAUGGUUUCCCGGACUGGAGAAGUCUGACUAGCAAUUUUUCCCAGGCUUUGACUGGGGAAUCCAGACAUUGAGGUUUCUCUGAGGACAACUUUAAGUCCCUGCUGUCAUCAUCUUCAUCGCUGAUUUGAGAGAGGGUCGGAAGAUAUAAUUUACAGCCUCCAGAAGUCUCGCCGAGCCUGAUUGGAUGGUGUCCAGCUUUGCCGGAAUCAGGGAGGACACCACGGGUUAGCCCAAGAUGAAGACAAGACGGAGAGGCGGCUGGGCCCCAGGCGGGUGUGACAGCCCACGGGGGGACAGGAUGCAACCGUGACUGCCUACAUGCAGGACCCAUCAGCCCCGAGAGCCCUGAAACUCCCCAAGGGAGCGGAGUGCCAAAGGCCCCCAAACUGACCAAAGUCACCGGCCCUGGUCCUGCAUCCGGUGGGGACUUCCGGCGUCUUCCUCGCAGCCUCGGACAGCCUGUUGGCUUUGGAUGCACGCCUUGCUUUCCAGUGAGCAUCCCGCCCCUUUGCCGCCCCAACACAGUGUGCAUGAGGCAAGCGUGAGGCUUCUAAGUGAACCUGGGAGUCAGCAACAGGUAGGACCGAAUCGGCCCUUCACUCGGCGUAUGCGUGGCCAUCCAGAGACAACCCCCACCCCAGGACCCCUGCGGGAGGUGCCUGUGGGAGUAGACAGGGUCUGGAGUUGCUCUCAUUUUCCGAAAUGGUUGCUCCAUCCCUGAAGAACGAAAGAAUCCCGGGCAGUGGUCAAAUGGAAACAUAUCUCUUUAGCGAGAUGUCUGAAAGGCAGGAACAAGGAGGGGAGGGAUUUCACUUCUCUGAAGGCCUUCCUUCUUCCCUUCCUCGAAGCGCAGAUAUAGGUGGAUGCAUGCAGACUGACUUUUCUCUGCAAUUAAGCACGGCGGUGGCCAGGAAAACGGGAGCGUGGGGGUGGGGGCGGGGCACACCCAGCCUUCGGUCCUCACUGUUGUCCCUUGUUAAACGUGGGGUCUGCGAGAGCCGACUGCUCAGGUAAGGGCAGUGCAGAGAACAGGAUGCCCCAAGCAACCCAUAAAUAGCAGGGCGAAGACAAAGUGUUUAUUACCUGGCCUCGCGAAGCCCGUAUAAAUGCUCUCCCAGGGUGCGAGAGAGGGGAGCAUGUGUGAGCCGGCCCGCCUGCGUCCCGGGAACGGGAGUCCCAGACCCCGCUGUUCGCGCUUGGCUUGAUUCUAUGAAGGCGUCUAUUUGAUGGAACGUACUGGAACAGUUCAUAGCCGGCCCAGCAAACCUUGUGUGGAGACAGAGCUUUCUUUUUCUCUUUCCUUUUCCUGUUUGCAGGGAGAAUGAGGCCUUUCUCUUCUCGGCCCUUUGCUCUCCCCAAAGUUGUCUCACGAGGUCAUUGCCAGCUGACAGGCUGCCUUUCAGUGCAAGGUUUGGAUGGAAACAAUGCCCUGUUUUCUGGGGGGCUGGGGAGGCUCUGGGCCUAUUCCUGCCCAGGCUGCCCUAAAUUUAAAUGGGUUAUUGUUCUAGUAGGGCUGAAGUUUUCUACAGACAAUUUGUCUAUGUGAUACAAGACUUUCUCCUUCUGGGGUGUGUGUGUGUGUGUUACUAUAUACUAUAUAUAUAUAUAUAUAUAUAGUAAUACACACACACACAUAAACAUGAAUACCUACCACCAAUACUGAGCAUCAGAAAGGUGGUUUAAUAUCAUCAUAUUCAGGAGUUCCCAAUGCGGCUCAAUGGGCUGUGGAACUGAUGUUGUCUCUGUGAGGAUGUGGGUUCCAUCCCUGGCCUGGCUCAGUGGGUUAAGAAUCCAGCAUUGGCGCAAGCUGCAGUGUAGCUCCCAGAUGUGGCUCAGUGUUGCCAUGGCUGUGGCACCGUCCACAGCUGCAGCUCCGAUUCAACCACUGGACCAGGAACUUUCCUGUGCCACAGGUGCAGUCAUAAAAAGGAAAAAAAAAAAAGAUCAUCAUGUUUAUUUUCCAGCCAGGUUCAGCCACUCUCUUGCUGUGUGUCCUUGAGCAAGUUACUUACCCUCUCCAGCUAGGCAUUAGCAUCCUCAGUUCAGACUAGUCUGCCUGUUAAGCUUCCUUCUAGUUCAAACAUACUUUGACUCUGUGAUUGCAGGAUAUUACAUUACCAUGUUCAACGACGAGCUUAAAAGCACUUUCUUUGAAUAGCUUAUCCAUCAACAGAACUGAUUUCUAAGAGCAGUCAAGGAUAUGUGCUGGAUGUUCUAUUGAAUCUCCUGAAUACCGAAUUUAGUGCUUUGCAGAAAUGAAUGGCACGGAGUGGAAAGUAGACGAGAUCUAUGUCGUCAAGUUCUGGGAUCUUGAAAAACCCUUAUAGUUAUACUCAGGGUUGUCAGCUGCAACAAUCUUUGUCACCAGUGGAUAAUACUUUGAGACUUAAGAAGCAGUUUCAAAAGCUAUAUAUAUUGGGAGUUUCUGAAUAAGGACUCAGCUCUGCCAACUCUUUCACUGGAUGGGGAAUGGCAAAUAGAUAAAAGUAAUUCACCAAAACAAAGGUAGACUAUUUUUCAUUAUUAAUAGUGAUCAAGUAAUGAUGAUAAUGUCAAGUAAUGAUGAUCACAUCAGAGGCCUCAGAAGAAGCCUGGUAGGAGAGGACCCAGCCUCUGGGAUGCUAGGAGCCUUCUAGCACAGCCAGCCUCAGGCUGGUGCUGGCUGGCUCGACAGAAGUGCCGCCAACAUAGAACCGUGCUCAGCCUUCUAGGAAGGUAAGUUAUGAGCUGGGCCAAGAAAGAGGGAUUCCCCAGGGUUUUGCCAGUGGCUGCAGUCAGAAUCACAGCCCUGCAGCCACUGACCGCCAUUGCCCACUCCUUUGUUGAUCUGUGCGAGGUGGCCUCUCCAGCCCAGUGAGCCAGAAUCCCUUUUGGAAAAGCCUGAAACUGUCUGCCUGGUUAGAGGUCUUUACUGCUUCUUCAACCUUCUUUCCUUCCUUCCUUCUUUCCUUCUUUCCUUCCUUCCAUCUUUCUUUCCACAAACACUAAUUGAGCAUAUAUUACGCUCCAGGUGCUACAUGAGGCAUGCAGUACUCAUAUAUUUAAACAAAUGGUCCCUGAGCUCAAAAUACUUUCUGCCUCACAAGAGAGAUAAUCCAGUAGACAGAGAAUCACCAAUCUAGUUUAAAUAGAGCUACAUACCUUGAACUUGGAAACCAUAGAGUAGGAAGAGAGGAGUUAGGCCCAGAGGGGAUCUCAGAGGAGCCGUUCUGUGUAGGUGUUGAUAGGGGAGGCCAAGGCAUUCCCAGCAGAGGAAACACAGCUUAUUUGGAAACCUUAGGUAGAUGUUUUGUGGCUCUCAUGUAGGAUUUGGGAAAGAAUGGAGGCUGGGGAUGAGUUUGGGGAUCCACAGCCUCAAAACAACCAUGCAUUGGGUUCAGGAAUAUUUCUUCAUCCUUAUACACUGCAGACAAUUGCCCAGGCCUGCUCAUUAGUUGAGGGUGGGGUAGGGUGGGUGGAUCUCCAAACCUUGCCAAUUAUUCAUAAAAGAUUUGAUGACCAUUCUUAAAGCCUGUCUCUCAGCGUGACGUCCUGCCUCGGGCUCCAUGUCUGCAAGAAUAAGAGCUUGGCCUGAUGUACUCGCCCCAUCCAAGGGUGAAUCUUGAAUCGGAGGGUUUCUGAGACCUAUACCCUGAUACCUGACAGUAGGGUCAGUGCAGGGUCCAGGGACAGUGUGGGAUCACCACAUCCAUGGUUUAAUCACAGUGGAGUCCUUGAUAUUUCUUGCAUUAGACCCUUUGGCCCAACUCUCUUUUUGAUUUCUCCUUGGUAAAUGGUAUGUCUUCAUUGAAGAUAUGGAAGUGCAUGCAUGAAGGUAAAAUACUAACCUCGCCUUUGAAAGUAGGUGCAUGGCUAUGCAGGCUACUGAGCCAGGCCCAAGGCUGUAUUCUAUCCAUAGGCAGAGGCCCCACCCAAUCCUACACCUUCCAGCAAGCCAUGCCCUUCUGCUUUAGGCUGUCUCUGCCUACCGUCCCCUCCCACAGCCCUACCAUGGAGAUUAAGUAGAAUGACCUCCAUUUCAGGGUGUAUAUAGGGCCAUGACUCUCCAACAUGCCCAGCACUCUAGGGGUUAGAAGACCAGCCUUCUUGUGAUAAGCCACGUUCCGAUAAGCAGUUCUAUCUUCUGAAACACAUCUCAAUAUCCCUGAUCUCCUGAGUCUAUUCAUUGGACUGCCUUGAACUUCAAGACCUACUUGAUCAUGUUUGAAACUUCAUAUGAUUACCUGGAUUCGUGGCCCCACAACCUCUUCUGAGUCCUGAUCCUCAUGUGCCUCACUCAUUUCCCCCUUGUGCUUCUCCAUGUCAAGAGGACAUUAAAACAGGCUUCAUUCAGGUGACUCCUUGUGUGUUCUAGCCGAUCUGAAGUCAUGGAGACUGCAAGUACAGGUAUGUGAAAUACAGGAAAUGAAAGUCUGGCAUAGCUUAUAAACUUGCCUGUCUCUCACAAUUUAAAACACUUCCUGAUCUUUGAACCAGAGCAAAUUUCAUAAUGCAUGAGAAUUUGGUGACACUACCCUUUACCACUGGAAAGAACCCAGACUGACAUGAACAAAGCAAUCUCGUCCGUGGAAGAAGAUGUACGAACGCCACUUGCUUGUAGAGUCCCAAGGGAGUCUUGUCUGUCAUCCUCUAUUUUUAAUUAGAGCUGUAAUCAUCUCUCAAGAGGCUUCUGGAGGCUUCAUUAAAUCUACCAGCUUCCCUAUGAUAUAUAAAACGGGUGAUGUCUAAAAUCUUGGCCAUAUCAGAAAUGCGAGGAAGCUGGGGAAAGUGCAUCCAUCAUCUAGGAGCUUCAGGUAAAAUGUGUUUUCCUUUCAUCCCUACAAGACCGAGACUUUGUGGCAAUCAGCACUGAAACAGAACCCUUUCCAAUGGGCACAUUUGCUUCAUGUCCACCUCACAGCCCUGGAGCCUUACAUUGUCCAGUUACAUCUUUAGAAGCUGUCUUUCAGGGCCCUCUUAUGAUCAUGAACGUGGCUCACUGAUGCUUCUUGCAUGAUUCUCCUGGGUCUGCGUUCCUCUGUCUGUGGAGAAGGAAGCGCCCUCUGGGUGCAAUUCACCAAGGACUUUUCCAUUAAGCUACUCUGAGGUCAAACCUACUGCUGUCAGCAGUGUUCUGAAACCUCUCUACUUCCAUUCAGGCUCCCAUCCAAACCAAUGCCCUAGGUAGGGCUUCCAGCCUUGGUACCAUUACCUCACCCUGAAACUGCCAAGUAUCUUUUAUGGUGUUUUUCACCUGUGAGUUACUGCACGGACCCACGACUGGUGGUACCUGACCCUUUGAGAGGAACCAGUCUUUGCAGAUAUGGGGCUAGAAGCAUUGCCAUAGACCAGGGGUUCUCAGUAGUGGUCCUCUUGAUACUUUUUUAAUUAAAAACUUGUAUUGAGAUCAUUGCUCUAGGCAUUUUGAAUCAGAUAAUUCUCUGUUGGCAGGUAGAGGCCAUCCUGUGGAUUGUAGGUAUUUAGCCACAUCCCUGGCCUCUUACCCACUAGAUGCCAGUGGUACCGGUUCCUCAGUUGUAACAAGCAGAAAGGUCUCCAGACAUGGCCACAUGUCCCCUGGGGUAGGGAAACAGAGUCACCCCCUCAUUGGAAAUCACUGCUCUAGACCUCAUGCUGUGUGGGGCUAUGUGGCUUUUCCAGUAGAUGAAUGUUCUGGAGUAUUUAUGGAAUCUUCUCUGGCCUAUAAGAAACAGGAAAGACAUGACCACGAAGAAAGUCACUUGACCCAAGGAAACCACAGGACUUUCCACCAUUCAUUUACAGUUCUUUUCCUGUCUUACAUAUCAGAGAAUCACUCGGACGUGUUAGCUGUUGUGAUGCAGAGGGAAGCUAGAUUUCCUUGCCCAGCCAUGUCAUGUCCUAUUGAAACACUUUUUCUCGUCAUCACAGGAGGUCUUGUUAGAAAGCCCAUAAAGAACUUUGUCUGCUUGUUGUCCUGACUUAGGUGGUUCCACCAGGCCAAGGUUUUUCUGAAACACCAUUUCUGUUGUCUCAUUUGGCCAUUGCCACAGCGUCUAGUAAAGAUGUGAUGUGUCAGAAACUGUGUCAUCAUUUCUCAAUGUUUUCAUCACACUUCAUUUCAAAACGAAAAAAAAAAAAAA